CGACGACCGGCGCACGGGUGAGUAACGCGUAUGUAAUCUGCCUUGUACAGAGGGAUAGCCCAGAGAAAUUUGGAUUAAUACCUCAUAGUAUUACCGAAUCGCAUGAUUUGGUAAUUAAAGCUCCGGCGGUACAAGAUGAACAUGCGUGACAUUAGCUAGUUGGUAAGGUAACGGCUUACCAAGGCCACGAUGUCUAGGGGUUCUGAGAGGAUGAUCCCCCACACUGGUACUGAGACACGGACCAGACUCCUACGGGAGGCAGCAGUGAGGAAUAUUGGUCAAUGGACGCAAGUCUGAACCAGCCAUCCCGCGUGAAGGAUGACUGCCCUAUGGGUUGUAAACUUCUUUUAUAUGCAAAUAAACCUACUUUCGUGAAAGUAGCUGAAGGUAGCAUAUGAAUAAACACCGGCUAACUCCGUGCCAGCAGCCGCGGUAAUACGGAGGGUGUAAGCGUUAUCCGGAUUUAUUGGGUUUAAAGGGUACGUAGGCGGUAAUAUAAGUCAGUGGUGAAAUCCUGCAGCUCAACUGUAGAACUGCCAUUGAAACUGUAUUACUUGA
rnacentral:rRNA from 1 species